ACUCACUCAGUCUCAAGUAGAUAUGCAGUGACUUCUUUUCACUAAAAAAAAAAGUUGGUCUUUUUCAUCUUUUAUUUCCUUCUUUCUUCUACCUCUCCAAUUUGAAAUGCAUUUGCUUGGUAUUAUAUUUUUUACAGCAAUGUUCAAUUUUGGAAAAUCCUUGACACACCACAGGCAUCCUUUUAAAUAGUAGAACACAAAGAAGUAGAAGGACAUAAAUCAACUAAGCAAAGAUGCAUAUCAACAACUGUGCUCCUGAGUUGCUUCUUGGAGCAAAACAUUAUACAAGUAACGUUGAUACGUUGGGAUGCUGAUUGGAGUGAGUGAGCGAAAUAAUGAGCUCUAUUUUUUCCCAUGAAAUUCAGUACUAAACAAAGAUAAGAUAACAGGUGAAAUUCAGUACUAACAAAGAUUAGAUAACAGGUCUUAUUAGCUGCUACUAAGGUUUGUGAUGUGUGUCUCAAAGCUAAGCAAACUAGGGAAAUGUUUUCUUUGAGCGAUGACAAAGCUAGUGGUUCUUUUGAACUCAUUCAUUGUGAUUUGUAGGGACCAUAUAAAACUCUACCAUCAAGUAGAUGGAAUUGAUUUCUAGGGACGACCUAUCUACCUGUGCUUUACAAGAUCAGGGCUCUCGUACUGUGAGCAGAUUCUCUCAGUUUAGGCAUCAACCAACACAAAAACAUUGGAAGCUCUCAGUUUAGGCAUCAACCAACACAAAAACAUUGGAAGCUCUCAGUUUAGGCAUCAACCAACACAAAAACAUCAGAAGCCUGCAUUGAGCCUAGUGCGAUAUUUAAAGGGCAACCUGGGGUAUACCGUAUUCUACUGCUGCACAACCACAGCGACUUGAAGUAUGUAGACUCUGAAAAUCACUAUACACAAGCUAGCCGCCAAGGGUUUUCUAGUAUAAUAAAAAGGAAAGUCUCAAGCACGAAUAGAGCUGUGUUUCGACGAGCUAGUUCAGGUUUACACCAAGGACAGUAACAACCGGUCCAAGGGAAGUCAAGCAGAUCAUCGCUGAGAUUCGCUCUCAAGCAAUCAAGAAAGAGGGUUGGUUAGGGCAAAGCAUCCGAGGCCUUACUUUAGAAAGUGGGGAACAUUUAACCUAUGGUCUAGCCAGCAUCACAAUGGUGCCAAGCCUGUCAUGACACCUAUGCUCGGGAUUUCCCGUCUUGUGUUUCAUAUGCAGUUUUAUAGUUUUAUAUUGUGACAGUCAAUCUGCUUGUCACAUUGAAGCAAAUGCUACAUUUCAUGAACAGACCAAAACACAUCGAAAUAGAUUGUCAUGUGGUCAGAGAAAAAUUAUCUUCUAAGCUAUAUUUCAAUUGGGUGACAUCCUCACAGAACCCUUGGACCCCAACCUUUCGGUGUGCUUCUAUCUCAGUUAAAUAAUCUCCAACUUGAGGGAGGGUAUUAGUGUAUAGCUUAAUAUGUAUUAUAGCUGUUAUAGAUAGUUAUGACUAUGACAGUUAUUUUCUGUUUUAAUUUGUGCCUCAAGGCAUCUCUUUUGUAUAUAAGUCUGUCAACCUAUCAAUGAGAAAGCUAGCUCAAUGUUAUACAUUUUGGAAGCUAAUUGGUUCAAA